rnacentral:pre_miRNA from 1 species
ACACAAAUCACGUGGGGAUCCUGUUAAAAUGCAGGUUCUGGUUCGGUUUCAAAAACUCUGCAUUUCUAAUUGGCUCCCAGGGGAUGCAGAC